UACGGGGGGGGCAAGCGUUGUUCGGAAUUACUGGGCGUAAAGGGCUCGUAGGCGGCCAACUAAGUCAGACGUGAAAUCCCUCGGCUUAACCGGGGAACUGCGUCUGAUACUGGAUGGCUUGAGAUUGGGAGAGGGAUGCGGAAUUCCAGGUGUAGCGGUGAAAUGCGUAGAUAUCUGGAGGAACACCGGUGGCGAAGGCGGCAUCCUGGACCGGCAUUGACGCUGAAUAGCGAAAGCCAGGGGAGCAAACGGG
rnacentral:rRNA from 1 species